GAUGAACGCUGACAGAAUGCUUAACACAUGCAAGUCGAUGGGGAAGUGGUGCUUGCACCAUGGUAACCAUGGCGGACGGGUGAGUAACGCGUAAGGAACUUACCUGCGGGACCGGGAUAACAGCAGGAAACUGCUGACAAGACCGGAUAAGGUCAUUAAGCUGCAUAGCUUAGUGAUGAAAGGAGACGCCUGCGGAGAGCCUUGCGUCCUAUUAGCUAGUUGGAGGGGUAACGGCCCACCAAGGCGAAGAUAGGUAGCCGGCCUGAGAGGGUGGACGGCCACAAGGGGACUGAGAUACGGCGCUUACACCUACGGGAGGCAGCAGUGGGGAAUAUUGGACAAUGGGGGCAACCCUGAGCCAGCAAUUCUGUGUGAACGAAGACGGUUUUCGGAUUGUAAAGUGCUUUCAGCAGGGAAGAAGGAAGUGACGGUACCUGCAGAAGAAGCGACGGCUAAAUACGUG
rnacentral:rRNA from 1 species